UUAAUUUUUUGUAAGAUGCUUAAGAAAAAGAACAAAAAUAGGUAAGAUGCUUAACAUUUUCAAAAUUUAAAUUUUAAAAGGAAGGGAAGUGAACACACCACUGCUACUUGGUUAGGAUGGAUAUCAUUUUCGCAAACAGAGUAGAACUGCAUUUGUUUUAAGUAGAGCACUUUAGAGAGAAUCAAGAGUUUGCUACAUACCUAGCCCAUGACUGGACACUAAAGCCAAUAACGAAUUGCCUCAAACUCCGUGGAUGGUUUUGCAGAUGAAAGCUGCUGGAUUUUCCAAAUCACAGCCUAUUGAUUUGAGUCAUUGUGUCUGGCAUAAUGAGGAAUAUGAAUUCAGGAUCAGCAGAUGCCAGUAGCCACCUUCAGGAAAGCCUUUGCCUCACUUAUAGUGAACACGAGAGACUGUAGAAACUGAAACAACGAGAAGUAUCGAUCAGGAAAACAACAUCUUAAUCUAGAGCGAACAUUAAUUAGUUCUGUUACAAAAAUUUUGUUAUUAGGUUAUCCAAACACUCUACAUGUUUCUAUUGCUUUAACAAGAUGCAUGACACAGUUUCCUUCCAUUAUAAUUUAAUUUAGACCUUUUGAUUUAAAUUUAGUGUAGCAUGCACUAUCCAUUGUUAUAGUUUUUUUGAGAUCAGAUUCUUAAUAAAAUUAAAUAAUUUAUCUUAA